UCUGGUUGAUCCUGCCAGUAGUCAUAUGCUUGCCUCAAAGAUUAAGCCAUGCAUGUCUAAGUAUAAGCAAUUUAUACAGUGAAACUGCGAAUGGCUCAUUAAAUCAGUUAUCGUUUAUUUGAUAGUUCCUUUACUACAUGGUAUAACUGUGGUAAUUCUAGAGCUAAUACAUGCUUAAAAUCUCGACCCUUUGGAAGAGAUGUAUUUAUUAGAUAAAAAAUCAAUGUCUUCGGACUCUUUGAUGAUUCAUAAUAACUUUUCGAAUCGCAUGGCCUUGUGCUGGCGAUGGUUCAUUCAAAUUUCUGCCCUAUCAACUUUCGAUGGUAGGAUAGUGGCCUACCAUGGUUUCAACGGGUAACGGGGAAUAAGGGUUCGAUUCCGGAGAGGGAGCCUGAGAAACGGCUACCACAUCCAAGGAAGGCAGCAGGCGCGCAAAUUACCCAAUCCUAAUUCAGGGAGGUAGUGACAAUAAAUAACGAUACAGGGCCCAUUCGGGUCUUGUAAUUGGAAUGAGUACAAUGUAAAUACCUUAACGAGGAACAAUUGGAGGGCAAGUCUGGUA
rnacentral:rRNA from 1 species